rnacentral:rRNA from 1 species
UGCGUAGGCGGGUUUCUAAGUCAGAGGUGAAAGCCUGGAGCUCAACUCCAGAACUGCCUUUGAUACUGGAAGUCUUGAGUAUGGCAGAGGUGAGUGGAGCUGCGAGUGUAGAGGUGAAAUUCGUAGAUAUUCGCAAGAACACCAGUGGCGAAGGCGGCUCACUGGGCCAUUACUGACGCUAGAGGCACGGAAAGCGUGGGGAGCAAACA